rnacentral:lncRNA from 1 species
UCCACAUAGGCUAUACAGCAAUCAAAUGUUUCUUGACCAGGGUAAUAAUUGGUCACAACCACAUUGCUACCACGGCAAACAUUUUAACAAACACAGCCACAAAGCCAUAUCUUGCCCCUAUCAAAUCUAAAGUCUCCUUACAAACAAUAAUUCCAUUGGCGAGGAAGGAGAUCUUACAAAAGUUUUUUGACAAAACUAUAUACUUGCGAUUUAGAAACAAAGAAUCAGUUUUUGGCCAUGAACUUUGUUAAACCUAAUGAUGCUUCCACGACCACGAUGACGCUUGUAGAAUCAUAAGGUUAACAGUACUGCUAUCAAUUUAGCAGGCAUCGGUCGCAUCCAGAGCCAAGACCGGUCGCUUUCUUUCCACAGCCCUCUCUCGAAAGCACGAGCGCACGUUCUCUCCUCCACCCUGGUGUCAGAGAGAGAGCGGAGAGCAGUAAAAGGCGCAAGCCCCGGUGGCCGUUGGCCCCCCUCUCUCUGCCGGCCGGAGGUCAGGAGCAAGUGACUGCUGCUGCGUCGCCCACGUGAGCCAGCACCGCGGUCACCCGUGCAACCACUCUUUUCUCUUUAGCCCUUUACGUGUUUGUAUUAAUGCCUGACAGAAGCGCUCCUUUUUGCCGCUGCUCGCUCACACCUUGCACGCUUCCGAGUUCCGACUGCUGCAACGCGGGCAAGGUUUUCUUUGCUGUUUUGUUGCCGUAAUGCUCGUAGAUGGGCAUCUUGCUGCGCGUGGGGUUGCAAGAAAUGGGGGCUCUGCCCAGGUGAGAAUCACAGGGUCUAUUUUUUUGUGUUGUUGGCUCGUUGUUGGAAGGUUAUGUUGUUGUUUAUUGGAAAGAGGAAGGAGAUGGGAUUCUCUCUCUCUCAAACCAUGGAUUUGUUUAAAUAAAAAUGUAAAAAUUUUCGGUAGUUGGUAGUUGGUGGUCCAUCGAGGUCAGCAAUUUGCCUUGAAAAAUGCUUGGUUAGGUUGGUUGCGUGGU